ensembl:miRNA
AGAGAAGUGGCCGGCAUGUCCAGGGCAUCCCCAUUGCUCUGUGACUGCUGCCAUCUUUCUCC